rnacentral:rRNA from 1 species
CUGCGGAGGGAUCAUUACACAAAUAUGAAGGCGGGCUGGAACCUCUCGGGGUUACAGCCUUGCUGAAUUAUUCACCCUUGUCUUUUGCGUACUUCUUGUUUCCUUGGUGGGUUCGCCCACCACUAGGACAAACAUAAACCUUUUGUAAUUGCAAUCAGCGUCAGUAACAAAUUAAUAAUUACAACUUUCAACAACGGAUCUCUUGGUUCUGGCAUCGAUGAAGAACGCAGCGAAAUGCGAUAAGUAGUGUGAAUUGCAGAAUUCAGUGAAUCAUCGAAUCUUUGAACGCACAUUGCGCCCUUUGGUAUUCCAAAGGGCAUGCCUGUUCGAGCGUCAUUUGUACCCUCAAGCUUUGCUUGGUGUUGGGCGUCUUGUCUCUAGCUUUGCUGGAGACUCGCCUUAAAGUAAUUGGCAGCCGGCCUACUGGUUUCGGAGCGCAGCACAAGUCGCACUCUCUAUCAGCAAAGGUCUAGCAUCCAUUAAGCCUUUUUUUCAACUUUUGACCUCGGAUCAGGUAGGGAUACCCGCUGAACUUAAGCAUAUCA